UACGGAGGGGGCUAGCGUUGUUCGGAAUUACUGGGCGUAAAGCGCAUGUAGGCGGCUCGGAAAGUCGGAUGUGAAAGCCCAGGGCUCAACCCUGGAAGUGCACUCGAAACUCCCGAGCUUGAGUCCCGGAGAGGAAGGCGGAAUUCUCGGUGUAGAGGUGAAAUUCGUAGAUAUCGAGAGGAACACCUGUGGCGAAGGCGGCCUUCUGGACGGUGACUGACGCUGAGAUGCGAAAGCGUGGGGAGCAAACAGG
rnacentral:rRNA from 1 species